rnacentral:lncRNA from 1 species
CCCGCAGUGGAAGCUCUUAUGUCAUUGGCUGCUGCUGCUUCCGAGUACACCAAUCGUAAACUCUUUCCCAAGUAUGAAAUUGAAAGUGGAGAACAGUAGGCAGCCAAUGGGAAUGAUCACAAAUUCAGCAGCCAAUCCGCCUACGGCGUUUUGUGUCUUUGUCCAACGGGAAAGUGUGUUUCAUAUGGAGGGGCGUUACCCAAUCGCCAAUGGGCGGGCUCCGGCGGAACGGAGGAGCCAAUGAGCGCGAGAUGUUGAGUGACAGCUGUCCAAUAGAGACCCUCAGUGCUAGUACGGCUUGCAGCUUAAGCGCCUCCGCGGUCUGAGGAAUGUCAACUAUUCAACAUGGAGGCGGAGGUCGAUAAGCUGGAGCUGAUGUUCCAGAAAGCUGAUUCUGAUUUGGAUUACAUUCAAUAUAGGCUGGAAUAUGAAAUCAAGACCAAUCACCCAGAUUCAGCAGGAGAGAAAAAUGCAGUUGCAAUUUUAAAGGAAUUAUCAGCAAUAAAGUCUCGGUAUCAAGCUUUGUGUGCACGCUUUAAGCCACUUUCUAUUGAACAAAAAGAGAACAAGAGCCGCAUUUGUGCUACUCUGAGCAAGACAAUGACCACGAUACAAGAACUACAAAAACAGACAGAUCUGGAGUAAAAGAAGAGAAAAAUCGGGCCUGGAGAGAUGGCUUGAUGGUUAAGAGCACUGACAAGCUCUUGCAGACAACCACGGUUCAAUUCCCAGCACCCACAUGGCAGCUUACAACUGUCUGUAACUCUAAGGUACCUGACACCAAGGGCAAAACACCAAUGUACAGAAAAUAAAAAUAGAUAAAUUUCUUAAAAAAAAAAAAAAGAAGAGAAAAAUCAUGUUGAUUCCAUUUGGUUAGUGAAAGGUUUACUUAAAUUUACUAAACUUACAAAGUGAAGCAACUCUCUUUUGUUUUUAGAGACAAGACAGUCUCAUUCUGUAGAACUAGCUCGGACUCAAAGCAGUCCUCUUGCCUCAGCUUCCUCAGUGCUGGAAUUAUAGACACAAGAUACUUUACUGGGAUUCUCUUGGUUCAUAUUUUCCUGGUUUGAUGCAAAAUCAGGCAGAGUGGCAAAUAUCUAAUCCCAGCACUUGGGAGGUAGAGGCAGCAACAACAAAAAAGUCCCAGUCCCCACCCCCCUCCAAAAAUGUUAUAGGCUCAUCUGAUCUAUAUAGUGAAUUCCAGGGCUAGCAGUGAGACACUUGCUUUAAGAAAAGUCCAAUAACAAACUGUUUAAGGACAGCCUAGGCUACAAAGUAAGAUCCUAACUCAGACAUCAACAAACCAAUCAAACAAAAACCCACGAAAGGGCUGGAGAUGUAUAGUGCUUGCCCAACACUCAUAAGGCUUCAGGUUCAGUCCCCGGACUGCAUAAACCAGGCACGGUGGGUUACAUGUGUUAUCCCAGCACAGGAGGAUCGGAAGUUUGAGGUCAUCCUAGUCUACAAAAGGAGUUGGAGGCCAGUCUGAUACAUACAUGAGAUCCUGUCUCAAAAGAAGAAAAAAAAAAAAAAUGGAAGGAGGGGAAUGAGGGUCGGGGAAAGCCCCAUAACUAGUAAGACAUCAAAUGUUGAUGGUAGACUAACCUAUAAUCUCAUGUCUUAAGAAACUGAAGUAGAAGGUCUGCCAUAAUUCUAGGCCAAUUGAGGCUACAUAGCCAGACACUGUUCAAAAACAAACAAAAAAAAGCCAAACACUUUUUUGUUGGUUUUGUUUCUCUCAGAUGUAUGUGGCUUUGGCUGGCUUGGAAUUCAAUAUGUAGACCAGUAGAUCAGGCUGGAUCUUGAAUUUAGAGAGAUCUGCCUGUCUCUGUCUUCCAAAUGCUAGGAUUAAAGGGCAUGCACCACCACCAUUCCUGGCUCUAGACCUUUCUCUGUGUGUGUGUAUUGGCAGUUCAAACUCAGGACCUUGUUCAUGCUAGGGAAGCACUCUACCAUGGCUCUAUGUCCUGCUGAGUUUUUUGAUUUUUUUUUUUUUUUAAAUUCUCCUGGAGUGGAGUAGGCAUGAAUGAGUGAGUCAGACCUUCUUAUCUUCUUCCAUCCUCAUCUCCAUCUUACUUGGUUUAAGAAUCCUUAUAAUUGUGAACUAUGUCACUGAUAUGUAAAGACUCCUCAGAUAUGGUGUGGUAUUCAAACAUCAGCGAUUGAGGUAGGCACUAAGAAUUUGAACAGAGAACUGAAUGAUUUAGUAGCAUUUUCAUGCAGUAUCAAAGAAAUAUUGGGGUUCAGACAGAUGAGAUUGUAGAAGGAAUCAAAGAAUAGAACUAGAUUGGAUAAAGAUCUUCAGUGUUAUUUGGGGUGUUAUUAUUACUGGCUUCUCUUAAUUUUUUUUAAAGAUUAAUAUUUAUGUGUAUGAGUGUAGCUUGCAUGUAGUUAUUUACUGUGUAUGUGCCAGAUGCCCAUAGAAAUCAAAAGAGAGCAUUUGAUUCCUCAGAACUAAAGUUACAUGUGUUUUCGAGCCAUAAUGUGAGUGCUAGAAACCAAACCUGGGUCCUGUGUAAGAGCAACAGCACUUUUAACCACUGGGAUGUCUCUGGGCCUGACCUUGAAUUUCUGAUCCUUUUGUCUCUGCUUCGUGAGUGGGAUUGCAUCCAGGGUUUGAUGUGAGCUAAGCACAUAUCUACCAACUAAACCACAUCCACAGUUUAACCUGUUAUUAUCACUCAAGUCACAUUUUCUUCAUUGUAAGAUCAAAAUGUGACACUGGGAACACAUUUUCUUGGGAAACAAAUCUUGGAAACUAUGUGGAUCCACAAGUCCCUAUCACCAUAUCUAUCUACAAAUCCAUAAAAGUUUUAAAGUAUAGAAAAAUUGGAGUGAGUGACUAAAGAGAAAAAUAGUAUUUUGAAUGCUUAGUAUAAAUUGCUCUUGCCAUUAUUUCUCACUGAGACUACAAACUGCUAUAGAAAAGUGGUGAUCAUAUGGUAGGAGAUUCUCUCUUCUUAUAUUGUCAACAUGUCAUCUAAAUGUGAAAGAAAAGGGAAUGACACCU